GAUGAACGCUGGCGGCGUGCCUAAUACAUGCAAGUCGAGCGAACAGAUAAGGAGCUUGCUCCUUUGACGUUAGCGGCGGACGGGUGAGUAACACGUGGGUAACCUACCUAUAAGACUGGGAUAACUUCGGGAAACCGGAGCUAAUACCGGAUAACAUUUGGAACCGCAUGGUUCUAAAGUGAAAGAUGGUUUUGCUAUCACUUAUAGAUGGACCCGCGCUGUAUUAGCUAGUUGGUAAGGUGACGGCUUACCAAGGCGACGAUACGUAGCCGACCUGAGAGGGUGAUCGGCCACACUGGAACUGAGACACGGUCCAGACUCCUACGGGAGGCAGCAGUAGGGAAUCUUCCGCAAUGGGCGAAAGCCUGACGGAGCAACGCCGCGUGAGUGAUGAAGGGUUUCGGCUCGUAAAACUCUGUUAUUAGGGAAGAACAAAUGUGUAAGUAACUGUGCACGUCUUGACGGUACCUAAUCAGAAAGCCACGGCUAACUACGUG
rnacentral:rRNA from 1 species